rnacentral:rRNA from 1 species
AGAGAACGUUGGCGGCGUGGAUUAGGCAUGCGAGUCGAGCGAGAACCGUAGCAAUACGGGGACAGCGGCGAAAGGGACAGUAAUAUGUAGGUACCUACCCUCGGGUCCGGGAUAGCUGCGGGAAACUGCAGGUAAUACCGGAUGACAUCUCCGGAUCAAAGGUGUGACUCCGCCCGGGGAGGGGCCUGCAUCCUAUUAGCUUGUUGGUGGGGUAACGGCCUACCAAGGCGACGAUGGGUAGCGGGUGUGAGAGCAUGACCCGCGUCAUUGGGACUGAGACACUGCCCAGACACCUACGGGUGGCUGCAGUCGAGAAUCUUCGGCAAUGGGGGCAACCCUGACCGAGCGACGCCGCGUGCGGGAUGAAGGCCUUCGGGUUGUAAACCGCUGUCGUAGGGGAGGAAAUGCAGGGGGGUUCUCCCCUCUGUUUGACCUAUUCUAGGAGGAAGGACGGGCUAAGUUCGUGCCAGCCGCCGCUGUAA